rfam:Planococcus rifietoensis strain M8, complete genome.
CGGGCAGUAUCCGAUGCGAACUGCACCGUGGCACGCAACAGCAAGCAAUAACUGAAUACGAUUCUGCCUUGAUCAUUACAUGACAGGGACGGAGGA